UUACGACCAUAUCAUAUUGGGACACUGGUUCCCGUAGGAACACCGUAGUUAAGUAAUGUCUAGCCUGGUCAGUACCUAGAUGAGUGAUCGUUUGGUAAUACCAGGUGCUA